UACAGUGCUCCUGAACACACCUUGUUUUCAGACCAGCACGCUCAUUCGCGCAAAUGCAUUUGCUAUUUAAACAACGUGGCGCAGGACGUGAAAACGAUAACUGCGCCGGGCUGAAACUAGCAAAAAAUGUAUGAUAGGACCCUUAAUGUUUGAUGAUCGCAUGUGUGUAAGCAAUGCUUCUUCUUUCUGCUUCUUCUUCGCCUGUGUUUUGAUCCAGAGAAUUCUGUAGUCUUUCAGAAGAUGCAUAAAAUGGAUCGCUGGAAAAUUCCGUCAAGAAGCACUGUGUCAUAAAUGACGGAAAAUGCUGUCAAUGGCGGAGAAAGAGUUGGAGUUCACCAAACUUGAACUUGCUGCAGAAGACUAGUCUUCUUUGCGUUUCAGCCGGCGGAAGCCAACCGUACAGUUUAGUGAUGCAUGAGAAAGCAACGCUACAGCGACAUCUGUGUUGUGAGACUGCAUGGUCAGCUGGUGACUUGGAGAUGCUGGACCAACAUGCCAACGGGCACCCUGCAACGCGUCUCUGAUGAGCAGACGGCGACAAACGUGACCCAUCCUGAUAAAAGCACAGACUCUGGAGACAUGGGCCUGGCUGGAGCAUCUCACUAUCUCCCUUGCCAUCUUCUAAUAAAGUCAGUCAUGCAGGGGGCAUCAGUCUGAGCAUUCUUGGCAAAGAGUCAAGGCUUGGCUUUAUAGCAUGGCCCUGUCUACUGGUCAGCGCUGUAACUACAGUACAUGGUUUGCAGAACCAUGCAAAUGCCAUGUGACUACUCAUUCUGGAGUCAUAGGAAAAUGAUGUCAUCACAGUGCUGACUGGCUGAAGAUUGGUGGUUUGGCACUGACUGAAAGCUGGCAGAACACUGGCAGACACUCGGAACAAACCCGUUGUUUGUCAGAGGUGUCAUACGACGAGAGUCCCGCAUCCCUGUCCUCUCGCGCUUCUCAUUUCCUCCUCAAGCAAAGCUUGUUUAGAGUGGGCGUCGGCCGCGUGUGUGCGUGUGUGAUAGGGAGCCUGAGGGAUGCGAGUCGGCAUGGCUCUCAGAGUAAUUGAAAAUGUGACCUGGAAAAUGUUUGCCCAGCAGAGCAUGAAAGUUACCUCCGGAGCGCCGGCUGAAGCUCACCUGCGGUGCCGACUGGGAGGGCCUGGGAAUGCUGGGAUAUCGGGCUGAGAGCCACUUUAUCCCUGCAGAGCCAUGCACACCGACGUCUCAUGCAUUAUUCACAGCCUCUAAAUAAGCACAGAUCAGACCACUAAAACCCAACCUGCUGGCCCUUUCCUGAGGAGUACCUCUCUCACCACUGACCUCUGCAAGGGCAUCACAGAUCUAUUCCAUUUUGGAAUGGAUGCAGACAGUGGAUUUCUGGGAAAAACAUGAAAAAAGAAAGCCAGUGGGUUUGGAACAACAUGAAGAAGGAUCCGAGCCGUACCCGGAGACUGGAAUAUCAAGACUUCAGCAAGCAACCACAUGGGAACCACCCAGAAUCCCCUAGCAACCAUAUAGAAACACUCUAAAAGCUAGAACACCUUAGCAGCUCCAUUGCAAAACCCUGGCAACCACCCACAGUGCAUUAAUGACUGCCUGCAACUUCUAGUACCACCAGAG